CUGGUUACUAUUUUGACGUUUCAAAUAUACUAGAACAGUUAAAAUGACGACCGGAUUGGGAUCAGUUUCAAAUAAAAUUGUGGAGAGUUCUUCCACCCUGUGGCUAGUUGGAUUUGUAGUUGUAAUAAUAUUGGUGAUGACCAUUUAUAUAUUGUCAGUACUAUUACUACCGCCAGAUGAAUAUCCUCUCAGAGGACCACAUCCUGUCAAAAAUAUAAACCAUGAGCAGAAGCACAUCCAUGAAGAGAAAUCAAAUGCGAAUGUUCCAGCAGGGCCACGCCGGAGCCGUCGACUUCAAGGCCUUGGGCCAAUUAAUUAAUAAAUUAUAAUCAUUUAUUGAGAUUCAUAUUAUACAUUUUAUUUUUAUUACCCAUUUUACAAUUGUGUGAUAAUGGAUCGGGCAUGAUUAUUUUACAAUAAAUGUUAUAUUUACAACACAA